UCGGCCAUAACUUAUAUACUGCUUUCAAUUUCCCUCCACCAAUAUUCCUAAAUUUUCAUCAAUGCAAAUAACAACCACUUCUAUACGAUUCCGGUUUUCUUUUCUUUCCUUUCCUUUCCACGAGCUAAUGAAGUGGAAUGUGGAGUGUAGAGGAAGUUGAAUCUUAUACGCUCCACCAAAUUCUGAAGGGUUUAAACUGUACCUUGUUUUUUUAUUUUGAUUAUUUCACUUGCUGUGUUUAUGCGGUUGACUUGCUCUCAAUUACAAGUCUUUAUCAACUAUUUGAUCCAGUUAGGUGUUUGCUCGUGUGUGGAGCUGAUUGUUGAAUUUGUUGUGUGGAUUAUUAGAAAUCGAUAUGGCUUAUGCUGCUUUGGAUUCUCUGCAACAUACUAUUAACCGCCUCCUGCAUUCUUCUGUCAUUUCGAUUGUUUCCCCUGGUUCAAAAAUGAUAACAUCUGCUUACCGUGAAUUGUUUUUCUUGAAACAAGUUGUAGAAAAAUUAGAUAGCAUUGGCAGAGAGAUAGAUGACGAUGUCGACGGACUCAUCAGAGAGGCAGUGUUUAAACUAGAAGAUGCAAUCGAAUUCCAUGUAUCAGAUCUGUUUGGAAGCUGCGGAGAUGAAGGUUUCCCUUUGAUGCUCUCCCUAGACUCGGAGGAACUGCAUCUGGUGAUGAAAUCCUUCACUGAAAUGGUCAAAUUUUCCAAGAAUUACAGUAAACAAUUCACCUCCCCUGAAGAGGAUGAGUUUGUUGCUUCAGAGGUAGCUGACUCUGGCGCAAAGAGGCCAGAGAUGGUUGGAUUAGCUGAUGAACUCAGGAGAAUCAAGACAUCUCUCACAACUUGGAUGACUGAUCAGCUCUGUGUUGCCUCGAUAGAAGGAAUGGCGGGCAUUGGUAAGACUAUACUUGCUAAAGAAGCUUUUGAAGAUCCAUUUGUUUGUCGAUGUUUUGAUAUAAGUGUGUGGAUCAGUGUAGGACACAAAUACCAGUUAAAAAGAAUUAUACUAGGUAUCCUAGCUCAAAUUAAUCCUCGCAUUGAUAGUCAUCUUAGGGAAGGUGAUGCGAAGUUGAUUGAGUGCUUAAAUGAGAGUUUGAAGGGUAAGAGGUAUCUUAUUGUGUUAGAUGAUGUGUGGAAUUUGGAGGUUCGUGAUUUUGUAAAUAAGCUUCUUCCAGAGGAGAAAAAUGGAAGUAGGGUCUUGCUAACAACUAGGCUACAUGAUGUAUCACAUUUCUCCUACAUGACUUCAAUUCAUCGGGUGCGUUUCAUGACCAAGGAAGAAAGUUGGUCUCUUCUUCGUAUGAAGGUUUUUGGUAAUGAGUGGUGCCCUCCUCCACUUGAGAAAGUGGGGAGGAAGAUUGCAGCCAUUUGUGAAGGUCUUCCUCUUGCAGUUGUCAUGGUAGCCGGUAUCUUAUCUAAAGCAGAGAAGACUGUGGAGUAUUGGAACGAAGUGGCAGAAAAAAGGAAUUCGGUUUUCAAAGAUGCAUAUGAUAAUAUGUAUGAGGUAUUAUAUCCAAGCUAUAAGCACUUGCCUAUACAUUUGAAAAUGUAUUUUCUUUAUAUGGGAAUUUUCCCUGAAAAUUACCAUAUUCCGAUUUCAAAGCUUUUCCAAUUGUGGGUUGCUGAGGGGUUUCUAAGAAUAUCUCAGACAAAAGUUUACGAAAUUAUGACUGUGGAGUGGUUGGAAGAGCUUGUUUCCAGAAGCAUCAUCAUAAUCCCUCAAAGGGGCUCUAAUUACAGAUUUAAAACCUGCAAGCUCCACUCUGCCUUUUGGUAUCUGUGUAUUAGAGAAGCUGGGAAGAAGAAGUUCCUCCACAUCAUGAACAACUAUUCUGAUGGUUUUGCAGAAGGUAUGAAAGAUCAACGUCGGCUGUGCAUCCACAAUGGCGUCUUAUUCGGAAUCAAAGAUGUGCAUGACUCUAUGGCUUCCGUCUCAGCUUUGCGCUCGCUCCUAUGUACUGGUCCACCUCAUCCAUAUCCAGUUCCCAUGUGUUUUGAGUUGAGGCUGCUGAGGGUGCUCGAUGCUCUUGCAAUCCGUUUCUAUGAAUUCCCUGCUGAAGCACUGAAACUGGUUCAUCUGAGGUACCUCGCCCUCACUUGUAAUGGCACCCUUCCUGCAUCAAUAUCCCUACUUCCGAGCAUCUGUUUCCUUAUAAUCCGUUGUCAUUUAAGCUUGAGACCACCUGGAGAGUGGCUGUAUCUGCCAAAGGAGAUAUGGGAUAUGCAAGAAUUGGUGCAUCUUCAAAUCAUGGGAGGCAACCUACCUAAUCCCAAUGGUUCUGUCUUGGAAAACCUCUUAACACUCUCAGACCUGAAUGCUCGGAGUUGUAGGAAAGAGGUUCUAGAAGGAGUCCCUCAUCUAAAAAAGUUAGGAAUUCAAAUUGAAUUGGAGCCCGAUACUGAUGCUACUGAUCCAUUUUCCUGCUUCGAUCAUAUCUCCCAUCUCUACUUUCUAAACUCCCUUAAAUGUGUCGUUGUGAAUCCAGAUCUGUCAAAUGGGAUUCCCAUCCCAUCCCCUCUUCCAAACUUCCCCAAGCGUCUCAAAAAGCUGAGCUUGAGUGGCUUCGGAUAUCCGUGGGAAUGCUUGAGAAAGAUUGGUCUGAUGCCUAACCUUGAAGUGCUUAAACUGCGAUGCUACGCCUUUCAAGGUCCAGAGUGGGAACUGCGAGAGGGGGAGUUCUUGAAACUCAAAUUUUUGCUACUCGAAGAUAAUGAUCUAGUGCGAUGGAGAGCUGAUGAUCCUUGCUUCCCUUGUCUCGAGCAUGUGAUCCUUCGCCACUGCUACGAGUUAGAGGAGGUUCCAUGGGGGUGGCUGACUUCGGUUCAAGAGGUUGAGCUAGUCGACUGCUACCCUUCAUCGCUACAGCAAAUGCCAGAUUAUCAGAUGCAGCUAGGAAAUGUCAGUGUUCAUUCUUCAUGGGAAGGGAGUCAAACUCUAACCGGGGCUCAUCCCGAGACCACAUCGGAAACGCAGUCGACACUAACAUGACUGCAAUAUUAGUUUGAUAUUGUCCGCUUCGGAAACGCAGUCGACACACUAACAUGACUGCAACAUAUGAUCCUUGCUUCCCUUGUCUCGAGCAUGUGAUCCUUCGCCACUGAUACGAGUCAGAGGAGGUUCCACGGGGGCGGCUGACUUCGGUUCAAGAGGUUGAGCUAGUCGACUGCUACCCUUCAUCGCUACAGCAAAUGCCAGAUUAUCAGAUGCAGCUAGGAAAUGUCAGUGUUCAUUCUUCAUGGGAAGGUGGGACUAUUUCUGAUUCAUAUUUUUAAUUACGUUAUUGACUUAUAUUCAAGUUAGUUAUAUGUCAUCUGGAUUUGUUUUUGUUUUUGGGUCACUCCCAAAAGGGAGUCAAACUCUAACCGGGGCUCAUCCCGAGACCACAUCUGAAACGCAGUCGACACUAACAUGACUGCAAUAUUAGUUUGAUAUUGUCCGCUUCGGAAACGCAGUCGACACACUAACAUGACUGCAACAUAUGAUCCUUGCUUCCCUUGUCUCGAGCAUGUGAUCCUUCGCCACUGAUACGAGUUAGAGGAGGUUCCACGGGGGCGGCUGACUUCGGUUCAAGAGGUUGAGCUAGUCAACUGCUACCCUUCAUCGCUACAGCAAAUGCCGGAUUAUCAGAUGCAGCUAGGAAAUGUCAGUGUUCAUUCUUCAUGGGAAGAGCUACCCAGAUUGUGAAUGAUCAUGGCUGAUGGUCCAUCCAUGCAUAUUUGAUCUGUGGUCAUCAUUUCGGAGUGUGUAUUCAAGAAUUUUGAUUUGAAGCCAUUUAUGCAUUUUCUAUGUUAAAAAUUCA